GGAUUCCGGAUCACGCCCCCUUAAAUGGCUCCCAAAGGUAUUAGCGCUACCAGCAUUUUUUUUUUCAAAUUCCCAUAAAGCAAGCUGAACUAUCGGCCACUGCCUAUGCAAAGACCUCAACCACGUGUUUACUUUCCUGAACUGUAAAAAGUUUAUAGGGGACUAGGCUUUUCGGCCAGUGCCCUAGUCAGAAUUGCUGCUAUAUUCCACAAAAGACAGAGAGUCUGUCUUCCCUUCUCCAGUAGGGAGAGUACAGAACAUGGGACUAGACAACUAGAACUGUGAGCUCACAGCGGGAAGGAAGAUGGCAAGGAUCUGUGAGCUGUGAGAUAUGCAGCAGUAACACACAGUCGGAAUGUCCAAAGGCGCAUGCCCGUGUUCUCUCCCUGGUGAGAUCUCUGACUUCGAGGCAGCUUUAUGAACGGGAGGCCACUGAAGUAUCAGAGCUGGUCUCCACUGAAGUCUACUCUCAGACACAGAUCCUGUAUCCUAGAAAGUGAGGCCAUUGAAACUGAUGCGGAAACAAGUGGGCGGAGGGAGAUUGCGAUGCUCAAUCCAUCCGCCCCCUCAUCUCUAACCCGCCCGGUGUUUCACGAGAAGCAGGAGCCAGCAAGAACCAGGACACGAUCCGAGACACAGUGUAUUUAUAUUAAUAAGUUUUCUCGCUGCUCUGACCAAAUGCCCCAUACAAACAAUUUAAAGGAGGAAGGAUUUAUUGGGACUCACGGUUGGAGA
rnacentral:lncRNA from 1 species